AAGAAAUAAGACAUAGAAAAAUGAAGGAAGUUCCCUGGCAUUGCACACUUGGUAUAGAUGAUGACACUAAGAUUUAAACUCUGACUCCAGAAUUCUUAUCUCCAUGAUUCUAUUCUGUCUCACCAGUAGAUUGACAGAUGUCAGUCUUGCUCCAUAUGCUUCCAUGUUAAGAGCUGAGCAUACCAGGACAUUGAAAAGAAAGAUUAUUUCACACAGUAUCAUAUCACCUACUUAUUCCUGCCUCCAGGAUCUUGCCUUGACUUCCUGCCCUGACUUCCCUUCAUGCUGGACUGCGGCUGGCGUAAAGCUUACACAUGGCGGUGGGGCUCAAGGAGGAGCCAGAAAAGGAAGACAGGAGGACUCCAGGGGCCAGCCACCCAGUUACACAGCAAGCUAUGGAAUAAGAAGUAAAAAAAGAUACUAUCCCUACACUGUCCUUAAGAUGACCCCUUUUGGAAUUGUCCCUGACCCUUCAGAAUCCAGACCCUCCAGUCUGAAUGACUUUAGCUUUCAUCAGGUGCCUUGGUGCCCAGCCACCCUGGCUGCGAUGGAAUAAAUGGGACACAUAUGUCACUUGGAACCUCAUGAGUCUCUUCAGCAAUCCCCCUAAUUUCUGCCUCACAUCUUCCAUAGCAGAUGUAACUCACAGAGCAGUGGUGUGGAGUCAUGGAGGCGGCAGCUCUGCCCUCCUGAUGCUGAUGGGAAUGGUUCUGCUGUUUCACCAUGAAGGAAGAUAUAGGCUCUCCAUACGAGGUGCUUCAUGUUGAGUAGCCUCCUGUAUCUGUCACCUGCCUCGUUGCUGUGACAAAACAUCUGAUGACAAGCAAACUCAAGAGCAAGUUUUUCCUGGGGGGAAAGAAUGGCAGCAGGCACUUGGGCAGCUGGUCACGUUGCACCUGCAGUCCGGAAGCAGGAAGACAUGUACAGUGAUGUUCAGCUCGCUUUCCAUAUUUUAUUUGUUCCAGGAUCCUCAUACUCACAAAGUUAGUGCAGGACACCAGAACCUAAUGGUACUCAUAAGGUGUCAUGUUCCUUUAGCUAGCCUAAUGAGAUGUGACAGCAACUGGGCUUAUAUUUCUUCUAGAACUUAGUCCUUGAAAAGAUGCUGUCAUAGUUAGAGUAGCUUCCUGCCACAAUUCACCUAAUCUAGAAAUGCUUGACAAGCAUGCCCAGAGGUUUGUCUCCCAGGUGAUGCUAGACCCUGUCAAGCUGAAAACCAAUAUUAGCCAUAACACUCCCAUCCCUAUUUUUCUCUGGAUUGCUUUUUUUCAAUUGUGCAUGAAUAUUGUAUUUUAUCUGAAUGCUUUUUGUCAACCAUUGUUAAUUAUCAUGUGGGUUUUCAUAUUGAAAAGCUGUCAGUAUAUUAAUAGACUUUUUUUUCUAACACUAAUCUGUCCUUGCUUCUCUAGAAUAAAACUGGUUUAACUGUGAUAGGCUGUUCUCUUUGUGCUUUAUUUUGCUGUUAUAUUUUGCCAUUUGAAAGUUCUCUGGUAGGUUUGUAUUGUACCAACCUAGUUUAGUUGGAACUAUGCUGCAGAAUUCUCUUUAAACAGUUCUAGAUUAACUGGGUCACAAGAGACAGAUGAGUGAG
ensembl:lncRNA